AUAAUUGUUAAAUUUAAACAUUAGAUAUUGAUGGGUACCUUUAUUUUAAGAUUAUCUGACUAUGCAACGAUAUGGAUAUGGAUAUGGUUCUCGCCGAAAUCUCCACCUAUGCUCCACCCUUACUACUUUUAAUCCUUUGUCGAGCACCAAAUCGGCCAACCCACUCUCUUAGAUCCUUUUCCUUCAAUUCAGUAGGGGAUAUUGAAUUGGUAUGUGAUUUGUGAGGUUUGGAUCUGGUUUUUUUGGUGCCUCUUUUCAAUUUGAUUUGGUGUUUGUGCCAGUUUAGGGUGUGGAUCAACAUCUGUUCCUCUUCCGCUUGAUUUGGGAUAGUCUUUUCAUAUGGAUCUAGCUAAUUUAGUGUUUCCUUUUACCCAUAAUUUUGAGGAAUAUGAGUCUUUUUUAUUCGGACCAGAUUUGAGCUCUAUUCCUUUCAUGCUUUUCGAUCUGUUCGGAUUUGAAUGUUUAUGAUGUUGUGGGAAUCUGGGAUUGAAUUUUGGGGUUUUGUGUUCCAUUUCAGAUUGCUUGUGAUGUUUAUUUGUUUUUGGUCUGAUUUGAAUUUUUUAUUUCUCCCUUCUGAUUAAUGUGUUGUUAAUGUCUAUAUCAUCCAUUAAUUCAUUUAUGGGUGUUUAAUCUUGUUUUUCAAAAUUGGGAUUGAUGGUGUUGUAGUAACGGCUUUGGGAAAAGCUCUGACCGAAAUUGGGUUGGAUUUGCUGCUUUGAUCAGUUACUGGAAUGAAAAAAGAAAUCAAGCUCCGUAGUUUAAUGCAGAGCUUAAAAAGUUAAAAAAAAUUAAUUUCGCCAAAAAUACAUCGUUUCCCAAUUUGUCAGUCAUACUUAGCGUCCGCAGUUUAAUACUGCAGACAAUAUUUAUUUAAAAAUGACGUAGUUUCAAAUUAGUCAAUCAUACUUAGCGUUUAUAGUUUAAUACUAUGGAUGAAGACUUUUAUAAGGAGUAUUUUGAUCAUAUGUCCUGUCUGCAGUAUUAAACUGCGAAAUACUAAAAAUUAAACUGUAGACGGG
rnacentral:lncRNA from 1 species